rnacentral:rRNA from 1 species
UACGUAGGGUGCAAGCGUUGUCCGGAAUUAUUGGGCGUAAAGAGCUCGUAGGCGGUUUGUUGCGUCGGCUGUGAAAUCCCGAGGCUCAACCUCGGGUCUGCAGUCGAUACGAGCAAACUAGAGUGUUGCAGGGGAGACUGGAAUUCCUGGUGUAGCGGUGGAAUGCGCAGAUAUCAGGAGGAACACCAAUGGCGAAGGCAGCACUCUGGGACGUGACUGACGCUGAGACGCGAAAGCGUGGGGAGCAAACAGG